UACGGGGGGGUGCGAGCGUUGUCCGGAAUCACUGGGCGUAAAGGGCGCGUAGGCGGCUCAUGAAGGCUGUGGUGAAAGUCCGGGGCUCAACCUCGGAUCGGCCGUGGCGACUCGUGGGCUGGAGCACUGUAGAGGCGGGUGGAAUUCCGGGUGUAGCGGUGGAAUGCGUAGAGAUCCGGAAGAACACCAGUGGCGAAGGCGGCCCGCUGGGCAGUGGCUGACGCUGAAGCGCGACAGCGUGGGGAGCAAACAGG
rnacentral:rRNA from 1 species